rnacentral:ribozyme from 1 species
AACAUUUUUAGAUCGUCAGCAUAUAAUAACAAUUUAACAUGAGGAAUAGCAAACACGACAUCGUUAAUAAAUAUAAUAAAUAGUAAAGGUCCUAAUCACCACAUUGAUAUGUGUCACCACAUAUCCAAGCUUGGGUACACGGGCUUGACCCAACCCCUUGGGCGGAUGGUGGCACAUGGCGAACCAGGAGGGG